CCUACGGGAGACAGCAGUGAGGAAUAUUGGUCAAUGGACGAGAGUCUGAACCAGCCAAGUAGCGUGAAGGAUGACUGCCCUAUGGGUUGUAAACUUCUUUUAUAAAGGAAUAAAACGAGGCACGUGUGCCUUUUUGCAUGUACUUUAUGAAUAAGGAUCGGCUAACUCCGUGCCAGCAGCCGCGGUAAUACGGAGGAUCCGAGCGUUAUCCGGAUUUAUUGGGUUUAAAGGGAGCGUAGAUGGGUUGUUAAGUCAGUUGUGAAAGUUUGCGGCUCAACCGUAAAAUUGCAAUUGAUACUGGCAGUCGUGAGUACAGUUGAGGUAGGCGGAAUUCGUGGUGUAGCGGUGAAAUGCUUAGAUAUCACGAAGAACCCCGAUUGCGAAGGCAGCUUACUAAACUGUGACUGACAUUGAUGCUCGAAAGUGUGGGUAUCAAACAGGAUUAGAUACCCGAGUAGUC
rnacentral:rRNA from 1 species